rnacentral:rRNA from 1 species
CCUACGGGAGGCAGCAGUGAGGAAUAUUGGUCAAUGGGCUUACGCCUGAACCAGCCAAGUCGCGUGAGGGAAGACUGCCCUAUGGGUUGUAAACUUCUUUUGUCAGGGAGCAAUUGGCGCUACGUGUAGCGUUAUCGAGAGUACCUGAAGAAAAAGCAUCGGCUAACACCGUGCCAGCAGCCGCGGUAAUACGGGGGAUGCGAGGGUUAUCCGGAUUUAUGGGGUUUAAGGGGUGCGUAGGGGGAUUGCCAAGUCAGUGGUAAAAUCGCGGGGCUAAACCUCGCUCCGCCGUUGAUACUGGCGGUCUUGAGUGGGCGAGAGGUAUGCGGAAUGCGUGGUGUAGCGGUGAAAUGCAUAGAUAUCACGAAGAACUCCGAUUGCGAAGGCAGCAUACCGGCGCCCAACUGACGCUGAAGCACGAAAGCGUGGGUAUCGAACAGGAUUAGAUACCCUAGUAGUC